rnacentral:rRNA from 1 species
UGAAGCUGGAAUUGCUAGUAAUGGCAGGUCAGCAUACUGCCGUGAAUACGUUCCCGGGCCUUGUACACACCGCCCGUCACACCAUGAGAGUUGGGAAUACCCGAAGCCUGUGAGCUAACUUAUAGAGGCAGCAGUCGAAGGUAGAAUCAAUGAUUGGGGUGAAGUCGUAACAAGGUACC